rnacentral:precursor_RNA from 14 species
GCAUGAUGCUUCUCUUUGGCAGUGUUUUGCGGUUUUUGUGGAACAACUCACAGAAACUUUCCAACUAUGUGAGUUGUCCCACAAAGAACACAGAAUGCUGUGGCUUACAUCUCGACAACUG